rnacentral:rRNA from 1 species
UACGUAGGUGGCAAGCGUUGUCCGGAUUUAUUGGGUUUAAAGGGUGCGUAGGCGGUCCUAUAAGUCAGUGCUGAAAUAUCCCGGCUUAACCGGGAGGGUGGCAUUGAUACUGCAGGACUUGAGUAAAGUUGAGGUAGGCGGAAUUGACGGUGUAGCGGUGAAAUGCUUAGAUAUCGUCAAGAACACCGAUAGUGAAGACAGCUUACUAAACUUUUAACUGACGCUGAGGCACGAAAAGUGUGGGGGAUCAAACAGG